CGGGUCGCAAGACCAGUGGCAAACGGGUGCGUAACGCGUAAGCAACCUGCCCUCAACCGGGGGAUAGCCCGGCGAAAGCUGGGGUAAACCCGCACGGUUCCAAGAGAUCACCUGGUUUUUUGGGUAAACAUUUAUGGGUUGAGGAGGGGCUUGCGUCUGAUUAGUUAGUUGGCAGGGUAACGGCCUACCAAGACGAUGAUCAGUAGGGGUUCUGAGAGGAUUGGCCCCCACAUGGGUACUGAGAUACGGACCCA
rnacentral:rRNA from 1 species